rnacentral:rRNA from 1 species
UUGAGCAUCAAACUUUUAAAUUGAAGAGUUUGAUCAUGGCUCAGAUUGAACGCUGGCGGCAGGCCUAACACAUGCAAGUCGAACGGUAACAGGAAACAGCUUGCUGUUUC